AACUUUCGACAAUGGAUCACUUGGCUCUCGCAUCGAUGAAGAACGCAGCGAACUGCGAUAAGUAAUGUGAAUUGCAGAAUUCAGUGAAUCAUCGAAUCUUUGAACGCACCUUGGGCUCCUUGGUAUUCCGAGGAGCAUGCCUGUUUGAGUGUCAUGAAAUUCUCAACCUUUCUGGCUUUGGCUGGUUAGACUUGGACUGUGGGAGCUGCUGGCUUUUUCAAAAGUCAGCUCUCCUUAAAUGCAUUAGCAAAACCUUUGCUAGACCAUCUUUGGUGUGAUAAUUAUCUAUGCCACUGAGGUUCAGCUUCCUCACAAGAGGGGGUUUAGCUUCUAACUGUCCAAUUUGGACAACUUUGACAAUUUGACCUCAAAUCAGGUAGGACUACCCGCUGAACUUAAGCAUAUCAAUAAGCGGAGGCU
rnacentral:misc_RNA from 1 species